rnacentral:rRNA from 1 species
GACGAACGCUGGCGGCGCGCUUAACACAUGCAAGUCGAACGGAAAGGCCUGCUUUCCCUUGUGGAUUGCGGGUACUCGAGUGGCGAACGGGUGAGUAACACGUGAGUGAUCUGCCCCCAACUUGGGUAUAAGCCUGGGAAACUGGGUCUAAUUCCCGAUAGGACUGCAGGGUGGUGCCUGUGGUGGAAAACGAUUUUCUAGUGGUUGGGGAUGAGCUCGCGGCCUAUCAGCUUGUUGGUGGGGUAAUGGCCUACCAAGGCGGCGACGGGUAGCCGGCCUGAGAGGGUGGACGGCCACAUUGGGACUGAGAUACGGCCCAGACUCCUACGGGAGGCAGCAGUGGGGAAUAUUGCACAAUGGGCGGGAGCCUGAUGCAGCGACGCCGCGUGGGGGAUGACGGCCUUCGAGUUGUAAACUCCUUUCGACCGCGAGGAAGCCACCUGGUUGGAAGGGUGGUGACGGUAGUGGUAGAAGAAGCACCGGCUAACUACGUG